rnacentral:lncRNA from 1 species
AUCCUAAUUACAAGAUGGUUGAAUCUAUCUUUCGCGCUGUCUUGAACUUUAACAUUUCAAAAUAUUGGUCACAAUGGAUGGCUCAUUCAUUCCGCACGGCGAAUUAAAAAUUGUCUUAAUCAUGCUGUACUCUUUCGAUGGAGAGGACGAUCUAAUCUAUCUUUUUCGAUGCUUAAAUAUUUAAGUACUUGACAGAUCAUUUCUAAUACAAGUAAUAAAGAACUUGAUUGCUGGUACAUCAAUUUUAUGUUUGAAACAGUAAACUAUCAUUUUUUAGCAUCGGUCGU